GGAUGGUGGAGAGCAGCAGAGUAGCGAGGGCGUAGAUGGUGGUGCCACUCUGCACUCCCGUGCAUUUGCUUUAAAACUGAUAUCUGGCAAAAGCCAGAUUCUUUUCAAACCUGCAGCACGUCUUGAAAAAAUGUCACAGAGCAGCUGGUGUUUCCCAGUCCGCUCCACGGGGCUCUGCGUCGAGGACGGCGAGAAAACGGAGGAGGGAACACAUUUGGCUGGAGCUCCUGAUCGUCCUGUGACUGCGGCCUCAUCAGAUCGUUAUCAGCGGAGCAACUAAAGAGAAUGGACUCUUUUGUCAACAGGCAGGAAAAAGGUCAUGUAGGGGUCUCCUCUGGCCAGACCUGCUUCCUGUCUCUAUCACCGAGGAAAAGGAAAAAGGUCCUCUGGUGCCUUUGUCCCAUUGGCCAAGGUCCCGCCGGGCGCUGGCGGCAACCGAUGACAUCACUGUAUGAAACACGACGGGGGAGGGCGCGGUGCUGUCUCUUGUCACCCUGGCAACAGGUCCGUGUGUGUCUGUGUGUGUGUGUCCUUGUUAGAGUUAUGCACUGGUUGCCUCACCUCUGGCUAUUAGUCCCCAGCCGAUCCCCCUUCUAUGUCCUGCGCUUCCUUCUCUUUCUUUGCUCUGUCUUGCUGUCUUCCUUCCAUCUCUCCAUCUGGUCUGUUCCAGACGGAGUCACGUUUGAUCAUCUAAAAAGUGUCGAGUAACUUCACACACAAAUAGGAUCGUGUCCUCCUCCUCCUCCCAUCCGGGUCCCCUUUUCAUCUCUCCUCACUCCCUUUUCCUCCCGUUCACAUGCCCUUUCAUCUUCCCUCCUUUUCCCUUGUCCCCUUCUUUCUCCCUCCCCUCCUCUUCCCUCUUUUUAAGUAUUCAGCGGAGUCUAUGGCAAGUGGAUUGGUGGCGUGCCCACUUAAAAGGAGUGGAGGAAUCACACCGCUAAUCCCAUUGUGAGAGAACAAGGGCUGAGGCGGCCCGAUGUGUGUGUGCAAAAAGAGAGCGAGAGUCCGUGAGCGAGUGACAUUACAGAGAAAGCGUGUUUGAGGAAAGGAAGGCAGAGGGAUAUCCGACAGGUGGGCGAUGCAGAAAGUCAGAGGGACGGAGAGACAGUGGGGUCUUUGUGUGAGCGCCCUGUUAAAUCAGGCCUGUAACACCGGCUUUCAUUGGAAAGCCUCUCCAGACCCUUGUGAUAGGUGGCAAGCUUCUCUGAUCCAUACAUGAAAGACGGAGAGCAACGAAGGGUGAGAGAAACAAAGUGGGGGCGAAAAAAAAUGAUGAGAGAGUGGAAUGUGAAAAUGUAAUUUCUCUACUUCGUGUGCAGUUUUGCUAAUGACGAAGAUGAAAGGGGAAAGAAAAGACAGAAUCACCAUGGACUCAACGCCUCCCUACACUUUGUCAGGGCUGUGCGCCUGGCUCAUGGGCACUUCUGCACCGGUUGUUAGAGAGUGAACCUGUCUGACCCACCACACCGUGCAGGUUUUUACAGAUGGCCCUGAAACAAUUGCGAUAACUAAAAAAGCUAAAUUAGCUUCAGUUGGUUCUGUAAAACAGUAAAAAACAAAAAACAAAAACAAGACGUUAAUGAAGAGAGAGAAACGCUGAGUGAAGAAGGAUCAGAGGAGACGUGAAUCUCGUCUGAUGUCUGUUCCAACCUUUACUUGCACCGUGCCAACGGCACCACUUCGUUCUUUUCUUCUUUUUCUCUGUCACCCCUCCCUUCCUCUCCAUCUCCCACCAGGCGCCAAACACACUUUUCUUUCAUUCCCAACACUUAAUUUCUCCCCCCCCCCUCCCCCCUCCCUCCCCUCUCGCCCAUUCCUCGCACUGUGGGAGGUAGAAAGAGAAUCAAGGAGGACGUUGAGACAUCGUUGUUAACGGUCGUCCUCUGAGCUCCCGUCUGAAACACACACAACAAGCGACGCGCAAUCACACGCGUGCAGGUGAGCGGUCGAGCAUGAAGGAAACACAUAUGGACACACACACACACACACACACACACACACACACACACACACACACUCCUUAUAGCUCUCUCCCGUCUGCUGACAAGAGUGUUUGUUCCCAUACCGCAGGGAGGGGGUCACAUGGGCGGCCAGCUGUCUGUUUGCGUGUUUGUUGGAGGGCGUACCGGGACACCUGGGGCCUCAACUCGUGCUGUAAGGUCAGAGAGGGUUGCACUGCUGGUGGCUGGAGGGUUCACACACACACACACACACACACACACACACGCACACGCACACGCACACGCACACGCGCACGCACGCACUCACACACACGCACGCACACACCAUCAGUUGCCUCAAGACAGAAUUAGCCCGCGUCACUGUCAAACAGAAUGGAUUAGAUUACUUCAAAUGCUAAAUGGUGUGUAUGUUAGCAAUUGUGCUGCCAGCUAAUCCAUUAAAGAGACCACACUGGUCCCAGUAGUACCAGCACCAAUCCCCCCACAGUCUCAGCUGGACCAUUGGCUAAGUGGAUGGAGCAGCAUCAUUUACUUCAUUUAUUUAUAUGACAUUGUGGACUGUGUGAUGUUUUUAAAAAUAAUUCAACAUCAGGGGUACCACUUGUAUCGCCUGUGCUGUUCCUCUGUUAGUCCACUUUUCUCCUCUGUCUGUCCUCACAUGACCUUGACUGUACAGGUUGUAUUGUAUCAUGUGAGUAUCAUUUACAUCUAAAUUAGCAUUAGUUAAAGGUAUUGACUUCCCUGACUGAAUUAAAUCAACCCCAUUGAUCCAAACUGAGCCAACAACAGAUUCAAUUGGGCGGGAAUAAUCUGAUACCAUUCAAAGUCCAGACAAAAGAAAAUACCCUCUGAUGGAUUAUGGUGCCAAUUUGCUUGAAUGAUUUGAAUGUGAACGCUAUUGCCGGUUUGAAUUAGUUCCGGCUAAUUUAUCCACAAAAAAAAGCAAUGCAACCUUUCUCACAGAGACAACGGAGCUGAAAUAAACCUGACAUCUACAUUUAAUUUCUAGCUGUUGUAACGACGGAAUUCAAUUUCUUGAAAGGAACAUGAAUCCUUUCAGUCUUUGAUAGAGAACUUGUGUAAACUAAGCUGAUUAUUGGUUAAGUGUUUUUAGGGUGAAUCGAGAAAGAGGAUUGUAGAAAGGGGUAUUAGGGUUCGAGAGUUGUUUUUCAACGCGGGCAUUAAAAAUGGUUUUAAUCUCAUUGUUAUGAGACGUCGUGGCUUUAAGGCAUCAGUUUUUCUCCGUGGUUUUCGGGGGUGUCACUACUUUUGUGAGUCCGCUCCCGUCUGGACUUUGUCUCAAUAUGUUUACCGUAUUUGUGUCAAAUGCACUAAUACUUUAAUCCAAUUGUUAUGUGUUCGAUGUUGUUUUGGACAGAGCUUUGUGCGUUCCUCACAGUUGUAAGUGGUAAACAGAUUCAAUCUUUGCAGGCUCUUAAGGGACAUAUCAUCCAUCAUACAAUCUGGUAAGGCUCAGUUUGGAGAAUUUGUCAUUUUAAUUUCCUCUUCACACACACACACACACAGACACACACACACACAUGCAGAGCACCAUUAAACAGACAUUAGAACACAAGUCCAUUCCAACUCACAUCAUCAUCGACAUCAUCAUCACUCACCGUGUUUUACUCAUCAGCCUGGUCAUUUAAUUAGUUUUCCAUACAAACAAAAUAUACUAUAUUAAUAUUUAUCCCGUUUUGAUGAAAACACGUAAUACUGGAGAUUAUUUAAAUGUUAUAUGUUAUACCUGGAUUUGUGUGACAUCAGAAUCACCAUCUUGAAUAUAUGAAUAGUAGUAAUGCCUUUUAAGAACCUGAAGAAACAGUAGUUCAACGUGAACAAUGGGUAAAAUGCAUCACCAGAAGCGGCUCACUUGGACCUCCUCCUAAUUAAGCGAACUCAUCCCAACCUUCAAGCGGUCAACCCACAAAGACUGAGGAACGAGGUAUGUGUCCAAGACGGAGCAGAACAGGUUUGUGCAGUAAAAAGCUGAAUAACAUACUUUUUUCUGGAGGGUGGUCUUCUUUUCAGACCUUUCUGUAUUUCUGUAAACUAACACAUCUUGUUGUCACCUAAACCUUAAGAGAGUAAAUCAGUACUGUUGUUAAUUUAUAUUAAAAAAAAGUUCACAAAUGCUCAGUCUCUGAUGUUUGCUGCUCUUAAAAUAGAUGCAGCCACAUUUUCUUUAUUCUUUAUGUACACGUGUAUACAGUAUAUCUAUCUUUUGUGUGUCAAAAUCAACAGAUGCUUGAAAUACAAACGGUCCCAUCUGCAGGGAACCUUCAUCGUCACCAUGGUCGCCGUAGUUCUGACAGCUUGAGCAGCCACCGUGGUCCCUGUUGACGAGCCGCUGUCCUCCACCCACCAACACGAGGACGAGCGUCUUGUUGAUUGCUGAUUGAAGUGGUGUUUGCGACUCUGCAGUCGAACACACACUUCAAUCACGCUGGUACAUAAUUAAUCUCCAGUGUGUCCAAGAUUCUGGUCCCUUCCAACAAGGAAACCAGGUAACAGGUUGUCAGCGUGCACACAAAUUAGGAGACAAAAAAACAAAGAAAAGUGUGUUCUGACAACAAAGAAGUGGCCCCAGGAUGCGCCUGGAAGAGCGACCCGUUGUUGACAGUGUUUCACGAUGCAUCGGCCACCCAGGAGGCCGGAUCGAUCUCCCAGAGGUCUUGUGCUCUAAAUGAUCGUCCUUUGUAUCGGUUUGACAGCACAGGUAUUCAUUUGUUGUCUGUUUUCUUUUAAAUACUAUCAUUUUAGCAUUUCUGUGCAGUGUGUGGCUGAUAUUGAUUGAAUGCAAUCUUACACAUACUGUCAAUACUUACUUGCCCUCCAUUAGCAGGAACGGAUAGAUCAGAUGCAUAUUGAUUACAGUGUGCAGAUAGUGCUUGUAUUGUGUGCAAUCAGAUGCCUCUCCAAAUUCAUAAUAUGCUCUUAUAGAUUAUUUAAACUACUCUCUGGAGAAAAACGAGGGCAGACCUCAUAACAGACAAUGUCUUUUUUUCGUAGUAGUAAUUAAACUCAAAAGGAUCGUUACGAUUGUGACGCUGCCACAAAUUGUACUAUUUAAACGAGUUACUUCGAAAAGUGUACUUUAAUAAAUGGAAACAGCUGCUUAGAACAGCAGUUUAGCUGAAUGGACCUCACCUGUAUGCCUAGUUGUUGGUUUGUACAUGUACAUGUACAAUGCACAUACGCACACUUCCCUUCCUCCUCCACCCCUCUAAAUGUCAGAAAGCAUUGAUUGUGAGAUUGUGAGCAGGAGCCCACAGGCAAUUUCAGGUUGUGUUUGUGUCUUUACAAAGAUAUAGAAACAAACUGACAGUGUAUUUAAAGGUCAAACCUGAGUACUAAAGGGACUCAGUGUGUGUGUGUGUGUGUGUGUGUGUGUGUGUGUGUGUGUGUGUGUGUGGCAGAGGGGGACACAAAGACAUUUCUAAAGCAAAAGAAAGUAGGAUGGAAUCACUGUGUUUCUAUGUAGAACAUUGCAGGGACUGAAAAGAAAGCAAAGAUCUAUCGUAAUAGUAACUUUCUAAAGGAAAAUCCAUGUAUAGAUAUAUCAUUUGAUCUGGUUUCUCUUCAUGUACAAGCAGCUCGCGGAGAGAAACAAAAAAAAAGUUAGUUUCCGGC
ensembl:lncRNA